GUAGCUGGUGGGUUUUGGGGCGGCUGUUUCGAGCCUGUAGGAAGCGGCACUCGUGCGCCGACGACUGUCUCUUCGUUGUCCGUGGCAAGUUUAAGCGGGCAUUUCACACGUGAUAAUGAAAAGCUUAAUGGACACAAAAUGUUUAAUAGCGUUACAGGCGGUCAGUGUAUACUCGCUGAAGUAGUAAGCAAAAGUAUUCCUUUAUCUGUGAAAAAUCGACUUCUUUCUGAUAAAAGAAUAGUGAGGUAUGAAACAAACCCACAUAAAUGGACCCCUGAGAUAUGACAGAAGAGGCACCGCAAAGCAGAGGGGAAGGAAGGAACGUCCUUUCGGGCCUCGGGAAUUGGUCAGUUGAGAACAUAGGGCAGAGAACCUGCUGCUUUUGAGUGGUAUCAAUUUGGCGACCCAGAUGGGACCAAGGUUCCUAAGAAGGAGGCCGACUGCCUGAAGUUCUGGAGCCCCAGCAGGACAGGUAAACAGGUGCGCCUUCCACAUACUGUGGGGGACUCUCUAUGGCCGGUCACACCCUGAAACCAAGUCCCUGGUGUCCUCUGGCCCCUUUCUAGUUGCUUUCUUGGAGGAGGUGAAGCCCGUUCUGCCUUACCUACUCCACUGUCUUCCCAGAAGUCCCAGUAUCCUUGAUUCUCGAAGGCAAUCAUUUAACUAUAUUUACAUGAUGUGACCAUGUGAUUAUGAAAACCUUGUGGCUCACACUCCCUUUAUCCAGUGUAUGGACAAAUGAAUAGAAAAAUGGGGACAAAAAAUAAAUGAAUAAUGGGGGGGGAGUAUGAGAUG